rnacentral:rRNA from 1 species
AACGAACGCUGGCGGCAGGCCUAACACAUGCAAGUCGAACGCCCUAGCAAUAGGGAGUGGCAGACGGGUGAGUAACACGUGGGAACGUGCCCUUCGGUUCGGAAUAACUCAGGGAAACUUGAGCUAAUACCGGAUACGUGCGAGAGCAGAAAGAUUUAUCGCCGAAGGAUCGGCCCGCGUCCGAUUAGCUAGUUGGUGAGGUAAUGGCUCACCAAGGCGACGAUCGGUAGCUGGUCUGAGAGGAUGACCAGCCACACUGGGACUGAGACACGGCCCAGACUCCCACGGGACGCAGCAGUGGGGAAUAUUGGACAAGGGGCGCAAGCCUGAUCCAGCCAUGCCGCGUGAGUGAUGAAGGCCCUAGGGUUGUAAAGCUCUUUCGCCAGGGACGAUAAUGACGGUACCUGGAUAAGAAGCCCCGGCUAACUUCGUGCCAGCCGCCGCCGUAA